UGCAGUCGAACGAGAAAGGGGAGCAAUCCCUGAGUACAGUGGCGUACGGGUGAGUAACACGUGGAUGAUCUACCCCUUAGUGAGGAAUAACUCUGGGAAACCGGAGCUAAUACCGCAUAAGCUCGAGAGAGGAAAGCAGCAAUGCGCUGAGGGAGGAGUCCGCGGCCGAUUAGCUAGUUGGCAGGGUAAGAGCCUACCAAGGCAAAGAUCGGUAGCCGGCCUGAGAGGGCACACGGCCACACUGGCACUGAAACACGGGCCAGACUCCUACGGGAGGCAGCAGUGGGGAAUCUUGCACAAUGGGGGAAACCCUGAUGCAGCGACGCCGCGUGAGCGAUGAAGCCCUUCGGGGUGUAAAGCUCUUUCGGCAGGGAAGAUGAUGACGGUACCUGCAGAAGCAGCUGCGGCUAACUACGUGCCAGCAGCCGCGGUAAUACGUAGGCAGCAAGCGUUGUUCGGAGUUACUGGGCGUAAAGGGUGUGUAGGCGGUUGUUUAAGUUUGGUGUGAAAUCUCCCGGCUCAACUGGGAGGGUGCGCCGAAUACUGAAUGACUAGAGUGCGGGAGAGGAAAGUGGAAUUCCUGGUGUAGCGGUGAAAUGCGUAGAUAUCAGGAGGAACACCGGUGGUGUAGACGGCUUUCUGGACCGUAACUGACGCUGAGACACGAAAGCGUGGGUAGCAAACAGGAUUAGAUACCCUGGUAGUCCACGCCCUAAACGAUGCAUAUUUGGUGUGGGCAGUUCAUUCUGUCCGUGCCGGAGCUAACGCGUUAAAUAUGCCGCCUGGGGAGUACAGUCGCAAGGCUGAAACUCAAAGGAAUUGACGGGGGCCCGCACAAGCGGUGGAGCAUGUGGUUCAAUUCGACGCAACGCGAAGAACCUUACC
rnacentral:rRNA from 1 species